AUGGAGCGUGGGAGCGAGAUGAGGCCCGUGCACAACAGCGUCGACACCGUCAACGCGGCGGCCGCGGCCAUUGUCACCGCCGGGAGCCGCAGGCAGCCCACCGUGGAGCCGAGAAGGAAAUGGACUGAUUGGUUGAGCGCAUACUUCUGCUUUGGAGCUCAAAAGAAUGAUCGACGCAUCAGCCAUGCAAUCCUUGUCCCAGAAUCUGCAUCUCAGAGGAUAGAUGCACCGGCACCAGAAAUUCCAAAUCAUCCACCUCCCCAGGUCUUCCCCUUUGUCGCACCUCCAUCAUCGCCCGCCUCUUUCCUCCAAUCAGGAUCUGCAUCUAUUAUACAAUCACCAAUGGGCCCUCCAUCUUUUUCGCCUCGCUCGCCAAACUCUCCGUCACCCACAGGUCCUCCAUCCAUCUUUGCUAUUGGGCCAUAUGCACAUGAGACACAGGUAGUCUCCCCUCCAAUCUUCUCAGCCUUCACAACUGAACCUUCAACAGCUCCUUUCACUCCCCCACCAGAGUCUGUUCAUCUGACAACCCCUUCCUCGCCUGAGGUGCCAUAUGCAAAGCUUCUGACUUCACUCAACAGCAGCAAGAAUGGGGAAAGGGGUGAACUCCACUCAUACCAUAUGUACCCUGAGAGCCCAAUAGGGCGUCUCAUAUCUCCAAGCUCUGCUUGUUCUGGCACCUGCUCCCCAUUCCCUGACCCUGAGCUGCAGACUUCCUCACACAGCACUUUCCCCUCCUUCCCAGUUCGUGAGCCCCCAAAGAUCCUGGAUGGCGAGGGCAUUGCUACACAGAAGUUGAUACCUCGCCAUAUGAGGAAUGGCGGCUCCCUUUUGGAUGGCCACAUUACAGCAGCUGUACCGGUCGUGGACUUCUCUGCAAGACUUCAAAACAAUGAUCAUGCUAUGGAUCACCGGGUCUCAUUCGAGCUGACAGUAGAGGAUGUCGCCCGCUGCCUGGAGAAGAAGACCGCUGGAGAAUCUGCUGCAUCAUCUUUCCACCUGCCAUCCAGCAAUACUGGGGAUCACUCGAGAGAAUCCAAUGAAACAAGGGCAGGGCUGUACGUUGAUGAAACAUACCAUGACCUGCCUGAGAAAGCACGGCGCUCCCUGUCCCUCCGUCUGGCCAAAGAGUUCAAGUUCAGCAAUGUCGAGGCCCCUCAUGUGGAGGAGACGGGCGCGCUCGGGUCCGACUGGUGGGCCAACGAGAAGGUGGCCGCGAUCACUACGGAGCCAAGGAAGAGCUGGUCCUUCCGCCCAGUGGCGCAGCCGGGGGUCAGCUAA
rnacentral:rRNA from 1 species